rnacentral:rRNA from 1 species
UACAGAGGGGGCAAGCGUUAUUCGGAAUUAUUGGGCGUAAAGGGCGCGUAGGUGGCUUGGCAAGUGGAUGGUGAAAUCCCUCGGCUUAACCGAGGAACUGCCAUCCAGACUGCUUUGCUUGAGGCCGGGAGAGGUGAGUGGAAUUCCCAGUGUAGCGGUGAAAUGCGUAGAUAUUGGGAGGAACACCAGUGGCGAAGGCGGCUCACUGGACCGGUUCUGACGCUGAGGCGCGAAAGCGUGGGGAGCAAACGGG